GUAGCUUUGUGUCUAUGGAAGUCCCUUGGAUGGAUCCCAGACCGACCCAUGGAUCCCAUGACCUUUCCUUGCCUGUGACUGUUGGUGACCCCUCUGAUGUCUGCGCUGCCUGCGCUGUGGCUGCCCUCAGUUCCUGCCUCAUUCCUUGCUUGGUGCACCUCCAGGUUUGCUCCCUGACAGCAGCAGCCGAAAUUUGGGCAGGCUUUGCCCAUGUACCCCUUGAGCAGCUGGACUGCGCUGUGUCCAUGCCCCUCACUCCCAUCCCUAGACCUGUGACUGAGUGCGGGCAGUCUGGCCCUGUUUCUUUCUCCCAUCCCGAGCCCCGGUGCUGCAAUGUUGCCUGAAGCGGGGUGCUGGGGGAGAACCGAGGGGGAUCAGGAGCUGCGCUCACCCUCCUGGAACCGGGAGGGAGGGUGCUGUUCCUGUUGACAACGGGGUUCGCUCCGAGCAGAAGGGAGGCGGUGGGAGGCCGGGCCGGGCCGGGCCGGGCGGUGCAGCCCGGGAAGCGGGGGAAGCGGUUCCCGGCCGGGGCUCUCCCUCACCUGCCCCCGGCUCUGCAGGGAAGGGCAGGGGGCGCUUCGCCCCCCGCCUACGCCGGCUCUUUCUGCCGCUCGCCGCUCGCCGUAGCCGGGGGAGAGCUAGGUUAUGCCAUUGGCCUUUUAAGAGAAGCAGCUGCCUCACUGCUCCAGUGCCAGGUUCAUCACAGUGCUGUCCAUAUCCUCAGCCAUGGUGACCACUCAGAUCCUCCUGCACUGGAGCACUGCUGUGUGCACUCAUGGGAUGCCAGGUCAUUCCCGCUCUGAUCCCUUCUUGCAUCUUCCAUUUCUCCGUGUGACAGUGAUGGUUCCAGACAGCAUGGGACUGCCAGCUUUUUGGAUUGGAGAAGUGCAUGCUCCACGUGGCUCUGAAUACCUACUGUUCCUGCAAAACCUGGAGCAGUCUUGGUGCCUACAGAAAUCAGACCAGAUGUGCUCUCCUGGGAGCAGGGGGAGCCAGAUGCUGCAGACAGGUAACAUGACCAGCAACAGGUACUGCAGGAUACUGCUGCAGCUUCCUAGUCCUAGUACUACCCUCACAGAUACCAAGUGGCAUCCAUCAGGAUCUGAAUGUUCCUGUGUUGGGCAGCUGAGAAGAGAUGGCAGUGGAAGCCAGAGGUGGCCUCUCUCCAGUUUCAUAAGUACUGAUGACCACAUUUUCUUCCUGUGUCUGUUGAAGGCAAUGACCACUAUAUCUGCUCCAAAACAGCUCCCCAUGGACAGAUACAGGGAGCUUCUAAUGACAAAGAGGAAUUUGAUGUUCAUACACAAUAUGCUGGCAUGUAAACCCACCAAGGAUGACCAGAAGAAAUGGUACCUGACUGUCUUCAUAAAUUUCCUCAAGUGCCUGGAGCUGUGGAACACUGGAUGGCUGUGAGCAGAAGAGUCUGACCUGUGUCACCUGCUCGUGCCACAGUUGCCUUGCACCAAGAUCCAGCAAAAGGACAUCAAGGACCUGUUCCCCAAACCAGCAGGGGAUCUAACGAGCAGCAAGUGGCAUGGCUGGGCUUGCAUGAGAACUAGGACAGCCCUGGGAUCUGGCUUGGCUUUGGGUCCUGGUUACCUGGAGCGUAAGGCUGUGAGGAGCUCUGGGGCUUUCUUGAGCUCCUCAGGGAGGAGACAAGCACUACUGAGUUGCUUCUUUAUCUUUUUUUUUUUUUUUUUUUUUUUUUUUUUUUUUUUUUUCUUUUUUGUCUAUGAGCAUCUUUAGCAGCUGUUUCUCACCAUUUUCUUCACCUUUAUAUCAACUUACUUGAAUGUUUUCAUA
rnacentral:lncRNA from 1 species